UAAUGGGUCAGCGACUUAUAUUCUGUAGCAAGGUUAACCGAAUAGGGGAGCCGAAGGGAAACCGAGUCUUAACUGGGCGUUAAGUUGCAGGGUAUAGACCCGAAACCCGGUGAUCUAGCCAUGGGCAGGUUGAAGGUUGGGUAACACUAACUGGAGGACCGAACCGACUAAUGUUGAAAAAUUAGCGGAUGACCUGUGGCUGGGGGUGAAAGGCCAAUCAAACCGGGAGAUAGCUGGUUCUCCCCGAAAGCUAUUUAGGUAGCGCCUCGUGAACUCAUCUUCGGGGGUAGAGCACUGUUUCGGCUAGGGGGCCAUCCCGGCUUACCAACCCGAUGCAAACUACGAAUACCGAAGAAUGUUAUCACGGGAGACACACGGCGGGUGCUAACGUCCGUCGUGAAGAGGGAAACAACCCAGACCGCCAGCUAAGGUCCCAAAGUCAUGGUUAAGUGGGAAACGAUGUGGGAAGGCACAGACAGCCAGGAUGUUGGCUUAGAAGCAGCCAUCAUUUAAAGAAAGCGUAAUAGCUCACUGGUCGAGUCGGCCUGCGCGGAAGAUGUAACGGGGCUAAACCAUG
rnacentral:rRNA from 1 species